rnacentral:misc_RNA from 1 species
GAUGAAGAACGUAGCAAAAUGCGAUACUUGGUGUGAAUUGCAGAAUCCCGUGAACCAUCGAGUUUUUGAACGCAAGUUGCGCCCGAAGCCUUUUGGCCGAGGGCACGUCUGCCUGGGCGUCACGCAUCGCGUCGCCCCCCACAAUUCUCCGUAAAGGGAACGUGUGUUUUGGGGGCGGAUAUUGGUCUCCCGUGCUCAUGGCGUGGUUGGCCGAAAUAGGAGUCCUUUCGAUGGACGCACGAACUAGUGGUGGUCGUAAAAACCCUCGUCUUUUGUUUCGUGCCGUUAGUCGCGAGGGAAGCUCUUCAAAAACCCCAGCGCGUCGUCUCUUGACGGCGCUUCGACCGCGACCCCAGGUCAGGCGGGACUACCCGCUGAGUUUAAGCAUAUCAAUAAGCGGAGA